AUUGAACGCUGGCGGCAGGCUUAACACAUGCAAGUCGAGCGAGCGGCGGACGGGUGAGUAAUGUCUGGGAAAAUGCCUGAUAGAGGGGACUAAAUAAAAGAAACAAUAACUAAUAACGAAUACCAUAAGAUGUGACCAGAUGUGAUUAGCUAGUAGGUGGGGUAAUGGCUCACCUAGGCGACGAUCACUAGCGGGUCUGAGAGGAUGACCAGCCACACUGGAAGUGAGACACGGUCCAGACUCCUACGGGAGGCAGCAGUGGGGAAUAUUGCACAAUGGGCGCAAGCCUGAUGCAGCAAUGCCGCGUGUGUGAAGAAGGCCUUCGGGUUGUAAAGCACUUGCAGCGAGGAGGCGUUAUUCGCAGAAGAAGUACCGGCUAACUCCGUGCCAGCAGCCGCGGUAAUAC
rnacentral:rRNA from 1 species